AGAGCGCCGGUUAGUGCGUUUGUGUAAUCUUUGAUUGAUAGUGAAAGUUGUGGGAGACGGUUCCCACCCCAGACGUAGCGGUUCGAGGCCGUGAACUGGGUGAUCAAACUUUUGUGUUAUUUAAGUUUCUAAUCAUCUAAUAGAUCCUAAGAUCUAAGCACUCAGGAGAAGUUAAAAAUCCUUACAAGUGGUAUCAGAGCAAUCCAGGUUUGAGUGCUAGAAGGAUUAGAUUAGAAACUCAAUGAUGACGACACAAAAGAUGGAGGUGAGCAUGUUCGACGGAUCAGGUGAUUUUGUGAUCUGGAAGAAAAGGAUGCUCGCGUACUUAACCGUUCAAGGUUUGAAAGAUGUUCUUACGUAACCGACAUCCAAAGACGUGGAUGAAAAAGAUCCAGAGGCAAUAAAGAAAAAGAGCAAAGAUGAAGCUUCCAGACUGGAGCGAGAUGAAAAGGCUUUGAAUCUUAUUUUCAUGUGUGUUGGAGAUCAUGUCUUAAGAAAACUAGACAAGUGCGUAACCGCAGCUCAAGCGUGGGCUACUCUUGAGAGGCUUUACAUGGCAAAGACUUUGCCUAAUUGGGUCCAUUCUCAGCUUAAGGUGUAUUCUUUUAGAAUGCAGGAUUCAAGAUCAAUUGAUCAGAAUGUAGAUGACUUCUUGAAGCUGACUGCAGAUUUGAGCAACCUCAACAUUGAGAUACCAGAAGAAGUUCAAGAAAUACUUUGGGAGUGUUUGGAUGCAAACACUAAAUGUGCUUCUGUUUUAAUAGAAUAGAUUUUAUUUUGAAGAAUUUGAUGAUUUUUAGUUUGAUUUAUUUGUUGAAUUUUAUUCUAUAAUUUUAUUUAUUAAUUUUUCUUACUUUUUUAUUCAAACAUAAAUUUGAUAAAAUAAGUUUUAAGAAAACAAUUAAAGCUUUUUUAAAAAUAUGAUAUAUAGAUAGAAAAUUUAUAAAAAUUAACAAAAAUUUUGCUAACGCUUAGGCUCCGCCUAGUCUCCGACUAACCCGCUUAGGCGCUAGUCUCCUAUCGUCUAGCGAUUUUUUGAACAUUGGUAUGUAUGAUGUACAACUAUCGAAGGGUGAAUUGAUGUGUUUAGCAAUUGAGCCUGCAAGGCUACGACGCUACGCGAAAAAAAAAACUAAUUUCAAAUAAUAUUUUUUUGUUAAGGAAUUUAAAAAGGGACAAUAACUAUAAAGUACCAAAAAAUAUAUUAUAUUACUAAAAUAUAUCGAAUGUUUUAAAAAUUACUAUAUUGUCCGAUUAUGUUAUAAAUGGCUAUAAUACCCUUUAAUAUGUUCUUAUCCAAAAACAUAAUAACGAAACUGUCAUUAUGUUUUUAUUAGAACGAGGUGAUUAUUUACACAAUUGCCACCGCUUUUUAUUCCCAUUAAACCACCAACGAAAAUAUGUCUACGGACUUUGAUAAAGGAGACAUAUUGGAUUUGAAUAGACUUAACGAUUUUGGUAGACUUGUGCGUUGUACUUCAUGAUAUUGUAGACUUAAUUGGUAGACUUAUUUGGCAGACCGUGUAGAUUUAUUUGCUGUCGUAAGACUGUAAAGGUAAACUUUUGAAUUCGUAGACUUAGUUAUGUAAUUUAUUCGACUAUAGACUUUUAGUGUCGACUUAUUCGUUUAACGUGCAGACUUAAAUGGAAACGAGGAAAUAUGACUUCGUAGACUUAUUUUGGAUUUAGACUUAUUAUGUAAACCUCAGAAGAGGUAGACUUAGUGAGCAGACUUAAUGUUAUUGGAGGCAGAUAUAUGAAAAUGUGGUCCUAGACUUUUUGGUUUGUAGAUUUAAUAAAGUUAUUGGAGGCAAAGUCGAAGUCGAAGUCAAAGAUUUGAGGCGACCGACGCUUGCAAAGUCGAAGAGAUCUGUCCGUUAAACCUGAUUCUAGGGUUCGGUGAGGGAGAGUGGCCGCGCCGCGAUGCCAAGUCGAAGAGGAUUGUAUUCUGAACUCGAGGAUUUGUGGCCACCGACGCUUGCAAAGUCGAAGAUUUCAGGCGACCGAGGCUUGCAAAGUGAAGAGUUCUGUCCGUUAAACCGGAAUCUCGGGUUUCGACGACGCAAAGAGAGUGUUGGCCGCAGAGAAAAAGAAAGAAGAGAAGAUGAAAAGUUACUUUUCAGUAAAUGAGAUAAAUGAGAUAAAUAAUGUUAACUUGAUGUAAAAUCUCAAAACUUUUCACCUCUUUUUUUUUUAAAAUGGCAUAAAUCGUAAUAUUAUGAGUUUUAAAGGGGAUACAAGUAAUAUCCAGGGUCCAUUUUGUAUCAAAUGUAAAACUGGGUUUCUCUAGUAAUAUUAGGAAACUUUUGGUAUAUUUUAAGUAAUUUCCUAUUUAAAAAUUAGAGAAAAUGUCGAAAAAUAGAGGGAAAUGAAGAGGGUUUUUUCUCCGUACAACGGAAGAAUCCAGAAGUCAUUAUAUUUCGAGCUUGAACCUAAAAAUGGAGGAAUUUGGAGAAGAAAGUGACGAGAAGACGAUGGAUUACUCUGGUGAAAGCACUAGGAUCCAAAAGGUUCAGCACCAAGUCCGUGUCGAGAUCGAGUCCCUCUUCGAUGGUGUUGAUUUCUCCGAGCCACUGACCAGAGCUCGUUUCGAGGAGCUGAUCAAUGACUUGUUCAGGAAGACGAUGGGACACGUGAAUGAUGCUGCUGGUUUACAGAAGAGCCAUAUCGAAGAGAUUGUACUCGUUGGUGGAAGCACUAGGAUCCGAAAGAUUCAGCAGAUGUUGAAGGAUUUCUUUGAAGGGAAAGAGCCGAUCUAUGGUCUGUGUAAGCUUCGGUUUGCUCACGGUGGAGUCGAGGUUAGUUCUGUUUUACUGCUAUUUGAUUUAAUCCUUCAAAUGUAGUUUGAUUUCAAACCUCUUCAGCCAAAUGCUUCAAGUCAUAUCCAACCUGUUUUCCCAUAGAUGAGUCUCGAUCUGUCUAGAUUCUAAAACAGAGAUUUCUCUGUGGCUUGUUGAUUAUUUUUGUUGUUGUUGUUGAAUGUGUUCAUUAUUCACUUUCUAAAUGUGUUCGUAUUCAGUCUUUGCAACUGAUGUUUCGGCUAGUGUGUUCUGAUAUUGUUCAGUCUUUCGUCUCAUCAUUGAUGGUCUUUGAAUGUAUGCUUCUGAUAUUGUAUGCAUGUUAUGCUACUGGUUCUGAUUUUGCAUCUAAAGAGUAGUAGCCAGAAGAUUUAUAGUUUCUCCUAUUUAUUUAACAGGUUACACUGGAUAAGCAUAAGAUGAUGAGAGCAGAAAAUCCUGAGCUUGUUUGGUCUUCGUCACCUGAAGUUUCGAAUUACAAAGAGUGCAGGGUGCUCACACGAAUCCCCCGGUUUGCUUCCUCUUCUUGAUUCAACUAAUGGUCUUUGGUUCAUAACUCUUUCGAGUCUUAUUGGGGGAUCUAUCUCAUUUUCCAUGCUUUAUAGUUUCUUAUCUCUUCUCGCUUGCAUUGUAUUAAUCAAAGUUGCAUCUCUCUGCAGAAAUAUCGAUAAACAACCAAAUUGGUAUAGAUAUCAGUCAAGCUCUAUCGGGAAAAAAGUUGUCUCCUCUGAAGGAUCUGUUUCAGGAGGUAUUUUUGUUAAUAUGUUUAUGCAGAUAACGUGUUCAGGGGAUUUUGUGUUUCCAUUAUGUUAGUGUUAUUGACGGUUGGGAUUCAUAUAUGCUUCAGGAUCUCUAUUUGCGUCUUCCACUGCUAAAGAAGAGGCCACCAAGUUUGGAACAGUUAUAGGGAUAGAUUUUGGCACACCAUACUCUUGUGUUGGUGUUUACAAGAAUGAUAAUGUCGAAAUCAUAGCAAAAGACCAAGGAAACCGUAUGACACAUUCCUGGGUUGGUUUCACCGACUCCGAGAGGCUCAUUGAUGAGGCUGCUAUGAACCAGGCUGCUGUAAAUCCCGCGAGUACCAUCUAUGCCAUGACUUUGAAAAAGAUGAAGAAAAUCAAGGACGCUGUUAUCACUGGCCCAGGUCAAUUUCUGCUUCAUCAUACUUCGUGGAGAAUAUAUAUAUAUAUAUUCAUCUGUAUAGUUGAUUGUUUCUUAUAUCUCGCUUUGACUAUGUGCAGCUUACUUCAAUGAUG
rnacentral:lncRNA from 1 species